AGGAUGAACGCUAGCGAUAGGCCUAACACAUGCAAGUCGAGGGGCAGCACAUGAAGUAGCAAUACAGAUGGUGGCGACCGGCGCACGGGUGAGUAACACGUAUGCAACCUACCUUCAACAGGAGAAUAACCCGGCGAAAGUCGGACUAAUACUCCAUAAUACAGGGAUCCCGCAUGGGAAUAUUUGUUAAAGAUUUAUCGGUUGAAGAUGGGCAUGCGUUCCAUUAGCUAGUUGGUGAGGUAACGGCUCACCAAGGCAACGAUGGAUAGGGGAACUGAGAGGUUUAUCCCCCACACUGGUACUGAGACACGGACCAGACUCCUACGGGAGGCAGCAGUGAGGAAUAUUGGUCAAUGGAGGCAACUCUGAACCAGCCACGUCCGCGUGAAGGAUGACGGCCCUACGGGUUGUAAACUUCUUUUGUAAGGGAAUAAAGUUUAGUACGUGUACUAUUUUGCAUGUACCUUACGAAUAAGGAUCGGCUAACUCCGUGCCAGCAGCAGC
rnacentral:rRNA from 1 species